rnacentral:lncRNA from 1 species
CACGGACACAGAGAUGAAUAUGAUCUGCUAGGAGUUAAAAAGGCAAAUGCUGAUAUUGAAAAGGGAGGAGGAAAUCAGCACAGAAGAAAAAAACCUCAAGAAAAAGUUUACACUUCUUUGCAGAGAGACAAGAUGGGUGAAGCAUACAGUGAAAUUGGAAAGAAAGGGGAGAGACGCCGUGGCAAAGGCAAUGAUGCUGUUUAUCAGGGACUCAGCGCAGCAACAAAGGACACAUAUGACAUGCUUCAAAUGCAGCCAGUGCAGCCUCCUUACUAACCAAAUCCAUCAUGAAGAAGGAGAAGCAGAACUAUUUCCAGGGUGAUUUCGAAACCUGGCCACCACUCCAGAUGCCUGUCCAUCUGCUGAGGAACAUUGCGCUCUGUAACAACUCUUGUUUCAGCAUAAUCUCUGCCCAUGCAAGGAAGGAGCUGUGGAGACUUUAGAUCAUGUUUUUCUGUAUUGUUCAGCAUUGAUACUUAUCUCCAGUACUGUGACAAAACCCUGGAAGAACAAUUAAAUGUUAUACAGUCUUGCUACUCUUGGAUUCCUAUCCAGAAUUCACCAGGAGUGUCGCCAAAUUCUGUCUCGAUGCUGUCACCCCAAGACAACAACUGAUGCAACAGAUGUUCCAUCAACGUUUAAUUUUAUUCCAUCAAAUUUUAGUUUUAAUUUCUUUUGAUUUUGUUUUACUGUUGCUUGAAAUCAUUUGUUUGAUCUGUUUUCUGCCGUUUUGGUCUUGGACUGUAAAUGAAUUUGUUCUUUUCAAGUGAACAUACCCUAGAUGUUACAUAUGUUGUAUGAAUGAAUUUCUGCUUCGUGGAGAAGCACUUGCCUUCUCUUCCUCCCUCUGUCACAUAGGCUGGAGAGUGCACAGAUGAGGGCAGGAAGGUGGCACCUAUUGUACUAUUAGAAAUCUGCUCUGCCUGGGCCUCGACACCAUUAUAUAUAACCCUACUAUGUUAAAGAAUCUGAGCGCAGUGUCCUUGUUUGGUUAAAAUAGAAGUUAUGCUUGCUGUCUUCUCUAAUUUUUACUAGAAAUACUAUUGGUAUGUGAGAUGAAAUGUGCCAAAUACUUUUCAAUCUUGUAUAUAAGGUGCUUACUUUCCGAAUAAUGGGCAUUCGGAGGAGCAACAGCUAAAAAAUCAGACUUUCCUUUUGCUGUAGGUUUGGCAUUUUUUAUUUGCAAAAUGUAUUCAAAGUGCUUUGGGAAGGAGGGAAAGAGAAAACAAUAUAGCAUUAUCACUAUAAAGUUACACAUUAUAGCUCAGCAUAAAUGCCCAGGGUAUGGAACAAGAGCAAAAUAGAUAACCUAGGAUUUAACUGUAGUUUGGUGAAGAUUUUAUUUCCUUUAAGGGCAGGACCACAACAUUAGAUAAACUGUGCAUGGAAUAUUUCAUAUAUAAUGGCUGGAAGUGGAAGAUUAUGGGAUACUUUAAAAUCUGAAGCUGCAGUGCCUAAAUACAGCCACCUGAAUGGAAGUUAGUACAGGAGUGAAAGAUAGAUGCAUCCUUAUGCUGUGGCUAUACUUUCCAUACUACUUAAGGGCACAGAACAAAACUGUCCUGUGCACUUCAGGGCUGGAGAGAAAAGCCAAAUUAAAACUUUUCCCCAUGUGCAAAAAUACACGCAUUUCAAGUACCCCUAAGUUAUUNUGGACAGCAGUGUAAGUCUCACUGAACAUAAUGGGUCUUUAUUUAAAAAGUAUGCUUAGUACUGUGUUGCAUUGUACUAGCAAAACGGAUGACGUGAAAAUGGAUUAAUUCUGUCUAUGAAUUAAAAGCCAGCUGUGCCUAAGCAUUACAUUGUCACCAAUAGGAGCUCUGGCUGACUCCAAUUCUGGUUAAGGCAGAAUCCACAUUAGAAGUGAUAAUCUGUUACUGCUGAUAUAAGAAAGGACCAAGGAAAUCCUACAGCUAAUUGACUUGAUUCAUCUGUACUUUUCACCUGUUUAUACAUAACGUUUAUAGAGAAAAAUUCACUAGAGGGUGACCUGCUUUUGUUUCAUAUCCUGCCUGAUCCAAAGAAGGAUUCUUGCUUAUGACACAAAACUAUCAUCAUAAGCAAAGAUGCACACAGACUACAAUCUAAGUCUCCUUUGAACAGGAUGGUGGUUCUUGUGACCAGACAGUCAUGCUUAAUGGAAACCAGGGGAUAUGUGCCUUACCUGGUGCCUGAUGCACUCUGAUCUUCUCAGAAUAUGCUUUUGGAGGCCUAAAAUCUCACCUUCUAAGUUAGAAAUUACAUUUCUUGUGCUUUCCAUGUAAAUAACUAAAGUCACAUGUUCUAUGUAUUUAGAAAUAAAAGCUUUUUAAAG